UUUUUUAUGCAAAAAAAAGCGGACGCAAGGUCCGCAAAAGUUCACGUUGGCUUUAGUUGUUCGGGUAGAGAAACAGUGUGACGGGUCAGUGAUUUUCACAGGUAGACCGUCUUUAUGGGCGUAUUAUUGAACAGAAAACUUGAUAGGGAUAAUCGUUCGUUGCUAUGCU
rnacentral:antisense_RNA from 2 species